CCUACGGGAGGCAGCAGUGGGGAAUAUUGCACAAUGGGGGAAACCCUGAUGCAGCAACGCCGCGUGAGUGAGGAAGUAUUUCGGUAUGUAAAGCUCUAUCAGCAGGGAAUAGAAAAGAAGGUACCUGAAGAAGAAGCCCCGGCUAACUACGUGCCAGCAGCCGCGGUAAUACGUAGGGGGCAAGCGUUAUCCGGAUUUACUGGGUGUAAAGGGGGCGCAGGCGGCGAUGCAAGCCAGGAGUGAAAGCCCGGGGCCCAACCCCGGGACUGCUCUUGGAACUGCGUGGCUGGAGUGCAGGAGGGGCAGGCGGAAUGCCUGGUGGAGCGGUGAAAUGCGUAGAUAUCAGGAGGAACACCGGUGGCGAAGGCGGCCUGCUGGACUGCAACUGACGUUGAGGCCCGAAAGCGUGGGGAGCAAACAGGAUUAGAUACCCUUGUAGUC
rnacentral:rRNA from 1 species